UACGAAGGGGGCUAGCGUUGUUCGGAAUCACUGGGCGUAAAGCGCACGUAGGCGGCUUUGUAAGUUAGAGGUGAAAGCCCGGAGCUCAACUCCGGAAUUGCCUUUAAGACUGCAUCGCUUGAAUCAUGGAGAGGUGAGUGGAAUUCCGAGUGUAGAGGUGAAAUUCGUAGAUAUUCGGAAGAAACACCAGUGGCGAAGGGCGCCUCCACUGG
rnacentral:rRNA from 1 species